CUGCAGACUCACCGGUAAGCGUGGUUUGAAGAGCCCUUUAUCGUUCGUAAUUCUUAUAGUUACUCUGUGAAAAAUUAUUAAUAAUACAUAGAUCGCAGUAUUGUCAUCGCCCACAAAUCUGUUUGUAACAAGGUGCAAAAAUGUCGGUUGUACGUAGGAUUUUGUUUCAAGAUUUUAAACAUAGUUUGCAAGAUUUCCAGAAGAUAUUCACACAUGCAAAGGAGAAAUCUGAGUUUGCGACGUUUGCAGUUGCACCCAAUUUGCCUCCUAGUGAUCAACAUCCGAAGCCGCAAUUAUACGAAGAAAUCCAAACAACAAGAAAAACAAUGCAGUCAUCAGAUUCAUUUCCCCAAGAAUAUCGAUUUAUUUAUCCGGAAUUUUUACCAGAUCCUAGACCAGAAUUUCGAAAUGCUUUAAGAGAAAGACUUGAACGUAAAGAUAUGUUGGCAAGAAGAAGUUUAAUUGACAUACCCGAAUUCUAUGUUGGAUCUAUCAUGGCGAUAACACACUUUGAUAUUCACGCUCCUGGUAAAUCAAACAGAUUUGUGGGAAUUUGUAUUCGGAAAGAAGGGUGUGGAUUAAGAGCUGCGAUUAUUCUUAGAAACUUUGUAGAUGGCCAAGGUGUCGAAGUUGAUUAUGACCUAUAUGAUCCUUGUAUUAAAAAAAUAGAAUGUCUAAGACUUGAGAAAAGACUAGAUGAUGACCUGCUUUAUCUUCGAGAUGCACCUCCCCAAUUCAGCACGGUUCCUUUUGAAUUAGAACCUGAACUUGUAACUGAGAGAAAGGAAAUUCCAGUCAGUCCUAUCAAAGUCCCACUAAAGCCUCAACCGUGGGUUCAAAAAUAUGAAUUAAAGGCUUAUAAAGGAAUAAAGGAAGACACAAUAAUUAUUAAUCGCAACCGUGCAAAAAAAGCUAAAACAGCAGAAAAACCCUGGGAAAAAUACGAUUUGAUGAAAGUUUACCGCAGAUUUGUAUCAUCUUGGCACUUCGAAUCGGCAAACUCACACUCAGCGGACACUCAGCGUUGUCCGAGAGACUCUGCCUCUUUGAGCUCUGCUGACUGACUGAUUGGGGAAGUACUACGAAAUGCAUGCGCGUCCGACUCUCUCAUAUCCAUUCUCAAACAUGUCAAACAAUUCCAGAAGAGGAACAAAAAGAAAUAUUUUCUGAAAUUUGUUUUGAGCUCAACCAAUUGCAGAUUGUUCGACAGAAGCAGAAACGAGCACGUGUGUUUAUUC